rnacentral:rRNA from 1 species
CACGUAGGGUGCGAGCGUUGUCCGGAAUUAUUGGGCGUAAAGAGCUCGUAGGCGGCUCGUCGCGUCGACCGUGAAAACUUGGGGCUUAACCCUAAGCUUGCGGUUGAUACGGGCGGGCUAGAGUUCGGUAGGGGAGAAUGGAAUUCCUGGUGUAGCGGUGAAAUGCGCAGAUAUCAGGAAGAACACCCGUGGCGAAGGCGGUUCUCUGGGACGGUACUGACGCUGAGACGCGAAAGCGUGGGGAGCGAACAGG